AUUGAACGCUGGCGGCAGGCCUAACACAUGCAAGUCGAACGGUAACAGAAAGCAGCUUGCUGCUUUGCUGACGAGUGGCGGACGGGUGAGUAAUGUCUGGGAAACUGCCUGAUGGAGGGGGAUAACUACUGGAAACGGUAGCUAAUACCGCAUAACGUCGCAAGACCAAAGAGGGGGACCUUCGGGCCUCUUGCCAUCGGAUGUGCCCAGAUGGGAUUAGCUUGUUGGUGGGGUAACGGCUCACCAAGGCGACGAUCCCUAGCUGGUCUGAGAGGAUGACCAGCCACACUGGAACUGAGACACGGUCCAGACUCCUACGGGAGGCAGCAGUGGGGAAUAUUGCACAAAGGGCGCAAGCCUGAUGCAGCCAUGCCGCGUGUAUGAAGAAGGCCUUCGGGUUGUAAAGUACUUUCAGCGGGGAGGAAGGGAGUAAAGUUAAUACCUUUGCUCAUUGACGUUACCCGCAGAAGAAGCACCGGCUAACUCCGUG
rnacentral:rRNA from 1 species